GCAUCCAUCCAAGAUUGGAGGAACUACCGAUGUCGACCAAGUUAUGGAUUUCCUCUUCUCCUUUCUCUAAAUCUCUUCUGUCCUCGUGUACACUCAUGUGUGUGUGGGUGUAUUCACGAGGAACCAAGCCAGGACCCCCUUUUCCCUAUCCCGCCUGGUAGAUUCAACUUAUCAGCAGACGGAGCACUUGUGGAUGCCAGGCCGUAUUUCCCAGGCAUAAAGAAGUGAAGCCUUGGAGCUCUUGGUGGCAAACGACAACCGCUGAAUGUAUAAGGGAUCACCAAAGUGAAUCAUCUUUUAGUAUCGUUUUACCCGUUCGCUGUUAUCGACACGGUCUCUGCCCCACGAAAUCAACGUGGUGUUGACAUAUUCAACCCGUUCAGCUCGAAUCAUCUGGAUGCCUAGAAAACCAGAUCGUCGUUACUAUAUGUACUGUAAUGGUUGAGAGGAUGCGGCCUAGAUGAACCAAAAAGACAUCGACACGACGACGACCACGACGGGUCUGCAACACGAUCGACAAGGAUCAUCUAUUAUUGUUGUUGGUAUGAUUUUUUUGUAAGUUGGCUGCCACGUAUUUUUCUCCCCAUGUUAGCUCCUUGACGGUGCGCGAAAGAGCUUCUAACACAUGCUAAACAAAUUACCUGAAUUUCAUGAUUCAAAAUGUUUAUGCUUCGCUUGAAG